rnacentral:rRNA from 1 species
UACGGAGGGAGCUAGCGUUGUUCGGAAUUACUGGGCGUAAAGCGCGCGUAGGCGGCUUUGUAAGUUAGAGGUGAAAGCCCGGAGCUCAACUCCGGAACUGCCUUUAGAACUGCAUCGCUUGAAUCCAGGAGAGGUGAGUGGAAUUCCGAGUGUAGAGGUGAAAUUCGUAGAUAUUCGGAAGAACACCAGUGGCGAAGGCGGCUCACUGGACUGGUAUUGACGCUGAGACGCGAAAAGCGUGGGGGAGCAAACAGG